rnacentral:rRNA from 1 species
AGUGAACGCUGGCGGUAGGCCUAACACAUGCAAGUCGAACGGCAGCACAGUAAGAGCUUGCUCUUACGGGUGGCGAGUGGCGGACAGGUGAGGAAUACAUCGGAAUCUACUUUUUCGUGGGGGAUAACGUAGGGAAACUUACGCUAAUACCGCAUACGACCUACGGGUGAAAGCAGGGGAUCUUCGGACCUUGCGCGAUUGAAUGAGCCGAUGUCGGAUUAGCUAGUUGGCGGGGUAAAGGCCCACCAAGGCGACGAUCCGUAGCUGGUCUGAGAGGAUGGUCAGCCAGACUGGCACUGAGACACGGUCCAGACUCCGACGGGAGGCAGCAGUGGGGACUAUUGGACAAUGGACGAAAGCCUGAUCCAGCCAUACCGCGUGGGUGAAGAAGGCCUUCGGGUUGUAAAGCCCUUUUGUUGGGAAAGAAAAGCAGCAGGUUAAUACCCCGCUGUUCUGACGGUACCCAAAGAAUAAGCACCGGCUAACUUCGUG